UACGUAGGUGGCAAGCGUUGUCCGGAUUUAUUGGGUUUUAAGGGUGCGUAGGCGGCUUUGUAAGUCAGUGGUGAAAUAUGGCAGCUCAACUGUCAGGGUGCCAUUGAUACUGCAGAGCUUGAGUACAGAUGAGGUAGGCGGAAUUGACGGUGUAGCGGUGAAAUGCUUAGAUAUCGUCAAGAACACCGAUAGCGAAGGCAGCUUACUGGGCUGUAACUGACGCUGAGGCACGAAAGUGUGGGGAUCAAACAGG
rnacentral:rRNA from 1 species